GAUACGUGAUGACAAGAUGUUUCGGUCCCAGAUGACGUCCCGUGAUUUGACUGUUGCAUUUUUCUGACGUC